GAUGAACGCUGGCGGCGUGCCUAAUACAUGCAAGUCGAGCGAACAGACGAGGAGCUUGCUCCUCUGACGUUAUCGGCGGACGGGUGAGUAACACGUGGAUAACCUACCUAUAAGACUGGGAUAACUUCGGGAAACCGGAGCUAAUACCGGAUAAUAUAUUGAACCGCAUGGUUCAAUAGUGAAAGACGGUUUUGCUUUCACUUAUAGAUUGAUCCGCGCCGCAUUAGCUAGUUGGUAAGGUAACGGCUUACCAAGGCAACGAUGCGUAGCCGACCUGAGAGGGUGAUCGGCCACACUGGAACUGAGACACGGUCCAGACUCCUACGGGAGGCAGCAGUAGGGAAUCUUCCGCAAUGGGCGAAAGCCUGACGGAGCAACGCCGCGUGAGUGAUGAAGGUCUUCGGAUCGUAAAACUCUGUUAGUAGGGAAGAACAAAUGUGUAAGUAACUAUGCACGUCUUGACGGUACCUAAUCAGAAAGCCACGGCUAACUACGUG
rnacentral:rRNA from 1 species